AUUGAACGCUGGCGGCAGGCCUAACACAUGCAAGUCGAGCGAGCGGCGGACGGGUGAGUAAUGUAUGGGGACUGCCCGAUAGCGGGGGAUAACUACUGGAAACGGUGGCUAAUACCGCAUACUAUCGGAUAACCCAUAUUGGAUUAUCUAGUAGGUGGGGUAAAGGUUCACCUAGGAGACGGUCCCUAGUUGGUCUGCGAGGAUGAUCAUGCACACUUGGACUGAGACACGGCCCAGACUCCUACGGAGGCAGCAGUGGGGGAUAUUGCACAAUGGGCGCAAGCCUGAUGCAGCCAUGCCGCGUGGAUGCAGAAGGCCUUAGGGUUGUAAAACUCUUUCACUAACGAACGGGUAGGUGGAGAAGAAGCGCCGGCUAACUACGUGCCAGCAGCCGCGGUAAUUC
rnacentral:rRNA from 1 species